CACUGUGGUCAGCAUUUAUCAUACUAUCUCUCUCUCUUUUUUAAUCUUCAAAACAACUCUUCAAGGUAGCUACUAUAAAUAGCCCUGUGUCACAGCAAAGGAAACUGAGGCCUGAAGAGGUUAAGCAAUUUGCCCAAGUUACACCCAGGGGCCGCUGACGGUCGGAGCCUAUGCAAGGACUAAAGCGUGAGGCUGCAUUUGGGAGGUGCAAACCCAGGAGAAAGUGAGGGCAUGUUCACCGAGUCUCUUGAUGCCAGGUCCUCUGAGAAAUCUGACAAGGCUCCUUGGGAUUGGCUGUCAGAGCAAUGUGGAGUGCUUUCAGAUCCUUGACUUGGAACUGGGUGACAUAGGCUUAUAUCCAAGGCCUGGCAUCCAGUAUUUCUGUAACUUUGGACGCCAUUCUACCUCUCAAAGCCUCCAUUUCCAAAUCGGUGAGAUGGAAAUAGUGAAGCCAGCUUCACUACCUUCACCCAUGCGAAGACGAACUGAGAUCUGGAGAAGCCCUGCAAACGGAAAAGAAUAAAAUAUUUAUCCAGUGCCUACAAUCUGCAGAUCCUGUGGUUUAUAUACAUCAUGCACAACGCUGCACCAAUUAAAGUUGCUUUUAUUUAUUUCAUAAACUUCAGGUUUAAGAACUCAAAAAGCCAAUUUUCGAAUUAGGAAA